rnacentral:rRNA from 1 species
CCUACGGGUGGCAGCAGUGGGGAAUAUUGGACAAUGGGGGCAACCCUGAUCCAGCCAUGCCGCGUGUGUGAAGAAGGCCCUCGGGUUGUAAAGCACUUUCAGUGAGGAAGAACGCCUGGUGGUUAAUACCCAUCAGGAAAGACAUCACUCACAGAAGAAGCACCGGCUAACUCCGUGCCAGCAGCCGCGGUAAUACGGAGGGUGCGAGCGUUAAUCGGAAUUACUGGGCGUAAAGCGCGCGUAGGUGGCUUGAUAAGCCGGUUGUGAAAGCCCCGGGCUCAACCUGGGAACGGCAUCCGGAACUGUCAAGCUAGAGUGCAGGAGAGGAAGGUAGAAUUCCCGGUGUAGCGGUGAAAUGCGUAGAGAUCGGGAGGAAUACCAGUGGCGAAGGCGGCCUUCUGGACUGACACUGACACUGAGGUGCGAAAGCGUGGGUAGCAAACAGGAUUAGAUACCCUUAUAGUC